CCGGCCCCCGCCCCCGUCUGCGGAGAGGAGGGGGCGCCCGACGCCGCACCCGGACUCCUCAAGAAUCAACAGUAGGACAUCUCUCUGGAAGACAUGGCUGGUAAUGCUGCCUAGGAAUGUGAAAAUUGGAACAAUAAUGUGCAAGGGAAGGCACUGCUGGAUUCUGGAAAUGUGUCAGUUGCUGGAGAGCAUCCUGCAUGAUUCCAGAUGUACGACGAGCAGGCAAUAUUGUUCUCCUGCACGACUUGAGGAGGUGCAACAGGUGCAUCUAGUCAAAUCCUUUUGCUCCACGGCCUUCCAGGCACUCUGUGUCAGAGCCCAGAAUUACUCCUGGAACCUCACGUCAAUCACUCUCUCUCUCCUUCACUCCCUCCGUUGACAGUGGCCGUGUACACCAAGCAGGCUCCUGCCUCUGAGCUUUGUCCUUGCUGCCCCUCUGCCUGGAAGACUCUUCCCCCAGAUCCUCCCCUGAUGAGCUGCAUGUCCAGGUCUCAUCUCACAUAGGACCUGCUCAGAGUGGCUAUCCCUGUGCUUCUCCAGCUCUGGUCAAGUCUCUUUCUAUCACAGUAUAGCCUUUAAUGGUCUUCUCUUCUGAACUGUAUUCUUUAACCUGCUUAUUGUCUACUUUCUCCUACUAAAAUAUAAAAUUCAAUAAAUCAUGUCUAUCUUCUCUGACAGAGUAUCCAAAG